rnacentral:rRNA from 1 species
ACACAUGCAAGUCGAGGGGCAGCGCGGGAUAGCAAUAUCCUGGCGGCGACCGGCGGAAGGGUGCGUAACGCGUGAGCGACAUGCCCGUUGCCCGGGGACAACCGGUGGAAACGCCGACUAAUCCCCGAUGGGAUAUUGUGCCGCAUGGCACGAUAUUGAAAGUUACGGCGGCGACGGAUUGGCUCGCGUCCGAUUAGCUGGUUGGCGGGGUAACGGCCCACCAAGGCUGCGAUCGGUAGGGGUUCUGAGAGGAAGGCCCCCCACAAUGGGACUGAGACACGGCCCAUACUCCUACGGGAGGCAGCAGUGAGGAAUAUUGGUCAAUGGGCGGAAGCCUGAACCAGCCAUGCCGCGUGCGGGAAGGAGGCCCUAUGGGCUGUGAACCGCUUUUGCCUGGGGGCAAUAAGGGCGUCGCGCACGCCCGAUGAGAGUACCGGGCGAAUAAGCAUCGGCUAACUCCGUGCCAGCAGCCGCGGUAAUACGGGGGAUGCGAGCGUUAUCCGGAUUCAUUGGGUUUAAAGGGUGCGUAGGCUGUGCGUCAAGUCGGGGGUGAAAUUCCGGUGCUCAACACCGGGGCUGCCCUUGAUACUGUCGCGCUGGAGUGCGGAUGCCGCCGGAGGAAUGAGUGGUGUAGCGGUGAAAUGCUUAGAUAUCACUCAGAACACCGAUUGCGAAGGCAUCUGGCGAAUCCGUAACUGACGCUGAGGCACGAAAGCGUGGGGAUAGAACAGGAUUAGAUACCCUGGUAUUCCACGCCGUAAACGAUGAUGGCUAACCGCCGGCGACACACUGUCGGUGGCCAAGCGAAAGCGAUAAGCCAUCCACCUGGGGAGUACGUCGGCAACGAUGAAACUCAAAGGAAUUGACGGGGGCCCGCACAAGCGGAGGAACAUGUGGUUU